GGGCUAAUCAGCGGUGGGCGGUGUUAGUGAGGCAGCCCAGGUCUAGUUCCGAAGAUUAGUCUGUCCACCCUUUGUUCUUUCCGCCGUCGUUCUGGGUCAGAGAGCAUCCUCGCUCGGCCCCGGCCACUGCUUCUGAUAACACCAAAGAGGGAGAGCGGGAUCGGAGUCCGGCUCUCCUGGGCUGUCUUGUACCUCAGCCUCCGUCCGAACAUUUCCACUUUAGGAGCGUGCCCUUCCCUGGUUCCGGCUGUUCAGAACAAGACGCCUUGAAAGCUGUGGUUCAUCUUACAAUGAAUGGCAUUUUAUAGUCAUGGUUGAUCAGGUGACAACUGAGAUGUUUUGUCACUGCCUGAACACACACAAACUCAGUGGUUAUUCCUGGUGGGAAGACUUGGCAACUGUAAUCUCCAUGUUUCCGUCAGCAAGUUGUAUAAAGACCAUCUGGAAAAGAAACAUGCUGCCUGUUGUCUGAAAACCUUCUGUCGAUGCCUUCAGGAAUCGCUGGAACCAGAUUAGCUUUGGUUUAGAAACUACAGAAUAGUUACAGCAGCAAAAGCAAAGCAGUGAUGAGCACAUCUGAGAUCAUCCUGAAUUUGAUUUCUAGCGCUGACACUUACUAGCUGGAAUGACAUUGCUGAUAGAACCCACUUCGCAGGAUCCCCUCUGGGAGCACUAAAUGAGUGACACACUCGGAAGCUCUUCAAACAGCGCCUGGCACAUAGUAAGUGCAACAUACCUGUCAUCAUCUCUUGUACCUGGGAUGUUCUGGAGGUGUCAUACCAGCCACACUGCAUCUUUUGGGGACUGGGAUAGCUGAAGUUUGACCCUAUGUGUAAACGAAGACUACCUUCUAACACUGGAGUCCACGGGACCGCGGGCAGGAAGUUAUUCAAAACUGCAGAAGCGCUCUACCCAGGUGCGGGUGGCAGAGGCUGUAUGGGAGAGUCCUCGGCUCCACUGCAGACUGACUCCAAGGUCUUCCUGCCUUAGCCCACCGCACCAAGCAAGCCGGAGGGACUGAGGGCUUUUCUCGGCCGUGAGUGCAGGCGUGCCACGUGCACUCGGACAUAUUCGCCGACAUGCAGGCAAGUCCGAGCAAAGACUGCCACGAUUUCGUAGGGGCCGGGUCC